CAGCAGCCGCGGUAAUACGUAGGUGGCAAGCGUUGUCCGGAAUUAUUGGGCGUAAAGGGCUCGCAGGCGGUUUCUUAAGUCUGAUGUGAAAGCCCCCGGCUCAACCGGGGAGGGUCAUUGGAAACUGGGAAACUUGAGUGCAGAAGAGGAGAGUGGAAUUCCACGUGUAGCGGUGAAAUGCGUAGAGACGUGGAGGAACACCAGUGGCGAAGGCGACUCUCUGGUCUGUAACUGACGCUGAGGAGCGAAAGCGUGGGGAGCGAACAGGAUUAGAUACCCGUGUAGUCCCUGUCUCUUAUAC
rnacentral:rRNA from 1 species